ensembl:lncRNA
CCUCUGCUUUCUGACCGUGGCACGUGGGUGUUGUGUUCAUACCCUCUCUCUAUCCGUGGCACGUGGAUGUUGUUUUCAUACCCGCGCUCUAACUGUGGCUGUUGUGUUCAUACCCGCUCUCUAACCGUGGCACGUGGGUGUUGUGUUCAUACCCGCGCUCUAACUGUGCCACGUGGCUGUUGUGUUCAUACCCGCUCUCUAACCGUGUGGCACGUGGCUGUUGUGUUCAUACCAGCGCUCUGACCGUGCCACGUGGCUGUUGUGUUCAUACCCGCGCUCUCACCGUGGGUGUGUUCAUACCCGCGCUCUCACCGUGGGUGUUGUGUUCAUACCCGCUCUCUAACCGCGUGGCACGUGGCUGUUGUGUUCAUACCCGCUUUCUAACCGUGCCACGUGGCUGUUGUGUUCAUACCCGCGCUCUAACUGUGCCACGUGGCUACCAGAGGCCCUGAGAUUGAGUGGAGUUAGUGUGUGAGAUGGCAUUGGCUGAUUGAGUGGAGUUAGUGUGUGAGAUGGCAUUGGCUGAUUGAGUGGAGUUAGUGUGUGAGAUGGCAUUGGCUGAUUGAGUGGAGUUAGUGUGUGAGAUGGCAUUGGCUGAUUGAAGUCAUGAUAGUCGCUGAGACUUUGCUCCUUCAUCUCUGUGGGAGAUGGAUGUGUUUGUCUGAAUGAGGUACCUCUGCUGUGUCAAGGUCAACACACACACACACACAGCUUCCAUCUCUUUCUCUCUCCAUCUCUUUUUCCACUCUCAAUCUCUCUCUCCAUCUCUCUCUCCACUCUCCAUCUCUCUCUCCAUCUCAUCAUCAUCUUGAGGUUAAGUGGUUAAGUGUUGAGGUUCCUGACUGAUUGAGGUUAAGUGUUGAGGUUCCUGACUGAUUGAGGUUCAGUGGUUCAGUGUUGAGGUUCCUGACUGAUUGAGGUUAAGUGUUGAGGUUCCUGACUGAUUUGGGUUCAGUGUUAAGUGUUAAGUGUUAAGGUUCCUGACUAAUUGCGGUUCAGUGUUGAGGUUCCUGGGGAUGGUUUAAUCCCUUCUCCUUCCGUCCUUCAGACAUGGCCACCAGAGGUCGCUGCAAGGUCACAGGUCACGUGCGUCACCAGGGCGCCAUGGUGACAGGCUGUCUCACGGGGCCUUGAGGAUCUCAUCUCCUCUGGUCAGAGCACGCGCUGUAAACACACACACACACACACUCACACACACACACACACACACACACACACACACAUACUCACACACACACACCAUGGAGAGACUGUGACUCUUCUGGAGGAUAAUACACACAAGUCUAUAUGAUGGACCUCAUCCCGGUGUUUAGAUUCAGUUUUAAGGAGAAACACACACACACACACACACACAGUAUAUAUCCAUUGAGCUGAAUAUAAGAGUGUGUGGAGGAGCUUAGGGUCAUUUCUGCUGACAGGGGAUCCCCACUGAUCCACUUUCCUUCCCUAAGAGACACACACACACACACACACACACACACACCCCUUCCCUAAGUCCUCCUGGCAGAACAGAGCACUUAAACACAGCAGCUUAGCACAGGCCCCUAAGACACACACACACACACACACACACACACACACACACACACUCACCACAGGCCACUAAGCUCAGCACUACAUGAUGCCCAUCAUAGAACAGUAGUGACGCUGAAUAACACACACCGUCCCGUUCACUCUGGCUGCAUAACACACGCACGCACGCACGCACACACACACACACACACACACACACACCGUCCCGUUCACUCUGGCUGAAUAACACACACACACACACACACACACACACACACACACACACCGUCCCGUUCACUCUGGCUGAAUAACACACACACACACACACACACACACACACACACACACACACAUACACACACACCGUCCCGAUCACUCUGGCUGAAUCACACACACACACACACACACACACACACACACACACACACACACACACACACACACACACACCGUCCCGUUCACUCUGGUCAAUGGGACGAGAGAUGGGAUGCGAGAUGCAUGUUAUUGUUACAUGUACGGCUAUAUUGUUUACCAGUGUAGCAUUUAGGACCUAGCAUUACUAGCUGCUUAGCAUUACUAGCUGCUUAGCAUUACUAGCUGUUUAGCAUUACUAGCU